rnacentral:rRNA from 1 species
UUGGACAAUGGUAGGAGAGCGUUCUAAGGGCGUUGAAGCAUGAUCGCAAGGACAUGUGGAGCGCUUAGAAGUGAGAAUGCCGGUGUGAGUAGCGAAAGACGGGUGAGAAUCCCGUCCACCGAUUGACUAAGGUUUCCAGAGGAAGGCUCGUCCGCUCUGGGUUAGUCGGGUCCUAAGCUGAGGCCGACAGGCGUAGGCGAUGGAUAACAGGUUGAUAUUCCUGUACCACCAUUAUUCGUUUUAAGCGAUGGGGGGGACGCAGUAGGAUAGGCGAAGCGUGCUGUUGGAGUGCACGUCCAAGCAGUGAGAUCGAGUGUUAGGCAAAUCCGGCACUCUUAAGAUUGAGCUGUGAUGGGGAGAGGAACUUGUUCCUCGAGUCGUUGAUUUCACACUGCCGAGAAAAGCCUCUAGCUAGAAUAACGGUGCCCGUACCGCAAACCGACACAGGUAGUCAAGAUGAGAAUUCUAAGGUGAGCGAGCGAACUCUCGUUAAGGAACUCGGCAAAAUGACCCCGUAACUUCGGGAGAAGGGGUGCUCUUUGAGGUUCACGCUUCGAAGAGCCGCAGUGAAUAGGCCCAAGCGACUGUUUAUCAAAAACACAGGUCUCUGCUAAACCGUAAGGUGACGUAUAGGGGCUGACGCCUGCCCGGUGCUGGAAGGUUAAGAGGAGUGGUUAGCGCAAGCGAAGCUACGAAUCGAAGCCCCAGUAAACGGCGGCCGUAACUAUAACGGUCCUAAGGUAGCGAAAUUCCUUGUCGGGUAAGUUCCGACCCGCACGAAAGGCGUAACGAUUUGGGCACUGUCUCAACGAGAGACUCGGUGAAAUCAUAGUACCGGUGAAGAUGCCGGUUACCCGCGACAGGACGGAAAGACCCCGUGGAGCUUUACUGUAGCCUGAUAUUGAAAUUCGGUACAGUUUGUACAGGAUAGGUAGGAGCCUUAGAAGCGUGAGCGCUAGCUUACGUGGAGGCAUUGGUGGGAUACUACCCUAAUUGUAUUGGAUUUCUAACCCGCAGCACUUAUCGUGCUGGGAGACAGUGUCAGGCGGGCAGUUUGACUGGGGCGGUCGCCUCCUAAAGAGUAACGGAGGCGCUCAAAGGUUCCCUCAGAAUGGUUGGAAAUCAUUCAUAGAGUGUAAAGGCAUAAGGGAGCUUGACUGCGAGACCUACAAGUCGAGCAGGGUCGAAAGACGGACUUAGUGAUCCGGUGGUUCCGCAUGGAAGGGCCAUCGCUCAACGGAUAAAAGCUACCCCGGGGAUAACAGGCUUAUCUCCCCCAAGAGUUCACAUCGACGGGGAGGUUUGGCACCUCGAUGUCGGCUCAUCGCAUCCUGGGGCUGUAGUCGGUCCCAAGGGUUGGGCUGUUCGCCCAUUAAAGCGGUACGCGAGCUGGGUUCAGAACGUCGUGAGACAGUUCGGUCCCUAUCCGUCGUGGGCGUAGGAAAUUUGAGAGGAGCUGUCCUUAGUACGAGAGGACCGGGAUGGACAUACCUCUGGUGUACCAGUUGUCGUGCCAACGGCAUAGCUGGGUAGCUAUGUAUGGACGGGAUAAGUGCUGAAAGCAUCUAAGCAUGAAGCCCCCCUCGAGAUGAGAUUUCCCAACUUCGGUUAUAAG